GUUCAUUUCCAGACAUUCCCAUUCUUUCUUAACGUAGAGGGCUGCACCACUGCCUUUCCUGCCUUGCCUCUCUCUUUUGCAAAGUCGCUAGCCAUCCAUCACAGCACUCCAGCUGUGCAUUGUGAUCAACUUAAAAAAGGAACGCAUGAAGAAUAGCUUUGUUUGCAUUCUGGUAACUGCUGAGGCUUUGGCUGAGGACAGCUUUCAGCUGCACCUGAACUAGGCUGGAUUUGUCUCCUGCUCUCCAUAGGUGAGUAUUUCUCUUGCAGACCUUUGAAUCAAUGAUUCCCCUGCUAUUUGUCUCUUCUGGUUGCUGGAGAGAAGAGCUCCAAUGUCACAUCCUGAUCCGUAAGGUGAUCAAGCUUGGUGAUUGUCAGUAAUUCAGGAUAUGCUUGCUUUUCUUUAAGUGAACUAAGGGAUAAGCUAUCAUGCUGUGCCAUUUCUUUUCCUGUGCGUAAUGCCAAGGGAUAGGGCUGCAGGUGCCUGCUGGUUCACGGGACAUGCCAGAGCUUUGUACACAGCUUAAGUGAUGGAAGAGGAAAGACUCCAGUAUGGUAACAACGUGAUUUCUAGUGUUUUGAUACCUUGGUGUCACUGGAAUCCAUGGAGCUGACACAGUCCUCUGAUGGCUGGAUUUCUGCUUGCUAAGGGUAUUCCUUCUGGUUUCUUGGCUUUUCAGGUGUAUGGGAACUGUAUAAUCACAGCCUGACCCUCUGUUUGACCACCUGAGGCGAGUGCUGAGUCAGCUGCAGGGGCACAGGUGAUGGCAAUUUCAGCUGAGUGACCGGAAGGGGUGGACCCUGGCUGCAGCCCUGCUAGACCCCAUGUAAGGGCUGACUCCCAAGGAGGAAGGAUCUCUGUCUGGAGUUCCCCCUUACUGGAGCCCUUCUGCGCGCCCAGGAUACGGGAACAGCACAAGGCAACAGAGACGUUGACAGCAGCGAUGGUGAUGGAGAUGUUGAGAGUGGAGGAGCUCUUGGCUCGCUGCAGCCACCCCAGCAUUCCCGGAGCUCCCUGCUGGCCCCGGAGGAGUCCGAGUGCUCUGUGCUGGAAGAAGAGGAGUCGAGGCUGCUGGAGACAUCAGGGCUCAGUGGCUCCG
rnacentral:lncRNA from 1 species